rnacentral:rRNA from 1 species
GACGUUACCUACAGAAGAAGCACCGGCUAACUCCGUGCCAGCAGCCGCGGUAAUACGGAGGGUGCGAGCGUUAAUCGGAAUUACUGGGCGUAAAGCGCAUGCAGGCGGCCUGUUAAGUCAGAUGUGAAAGCCCGGGGCUUAACCUCGGAAUUGCAUUUGAAACUGGCAGGCUAGAGUCUUGUAGAGGGGGUAGAAUUUCAGGUGUAGCGGUGAAAAUGCGUAGAGAUCUGAAGGAAUACCGGUGGCGAAGGCGGCCCCCUGGACAGAUACUGACACUCAGAUGCGAAAAGCGUGGGGAGCAAACAGGAUUAGAUACCCUGGUAG